rnacentral:ncRNA from 2 species
UGAUCUGCGGCGGGAGAGUCCUGCCAGUGUGCAGGCGCCGAAGGAGCAAACCCUCCCCGGGAAUCUCUCAGGCCCCUGGACCGCCGCGGCGAG